UACGUAGGGACCGAGCGUUGUCCGGAAUCAUUGGGCGUAAAGAGCGUGUAGGCGGCUUGUUAAGUCUUGCGUGAAAUCUCGGGGCUCAACCCCGAGCGGUCGUGAGAAACUGGCAGGCUAGAGUGCGGGAGAGGAGAGUGGAAUUCCUGGUGUAGCGGUGAAAUGCGCAGAUAUCAGGAGGAACACCGGUGGCGAAGGCGGGUCUCUGGGCCGUAACUGACGCUGAGGAGCGAAAGCGUGGGGAGCGAACAGG
rnacentral:rRNA from 1 species